rnacentral:rRNA from 1 species
AUUGAACGCUGGCGGCAGGCCUAACACAUGCAAGUCGAGCGAGCGGAGGACGGGGGAGUAAUGUCUGGGAAACUGCCUGUUGGAGGGGGAUAACUACUGGAAACGGUAGCUAAUACCGCAUACCAUCAGAUGUGCCCAGAUGGGAGUAGCUAGUAGGUGGGGUAACGGCUCACCUAGGCGACGAUGCCUAGCUGGUCUGAGAGGAUGACCAGCCACACGUGAACUGAGACACGGUCCAGACUCAUACGGGAGGCAGCAGUGGGGAAUAUUGCACAAGGGGCGCAAGCCGGAUGCAGCCAUGCCGAGUGUGUGAAGAAGGCCUUCGGGUUGUAAAGCACUUUCAGCGGGGAGGCGUUACCCGCAGAAGAAGCACCGGCUAACUCCGUGCCAGCAGCCGCGGUAAUAC